GCAAGUCGUGCGGUAACAGAGAAGCUUGCUUCUGCUGACGAGCGGCGAACGGGUGAGUAACACGUGAGUAACCUGCCUUUAAGUUGGGGACAACCAUUCUAACGGAUGGCUAAUACCGAAUAUUGUAAUCCUUCGCAUGUUGUGAUUACGAAAGGGGCUUCGGCUCCGCUUAGAGAUGGACUCGCGUCUGAUUAGCUAGUUGGUGAGGUAAUGGCCCACCAAGGCAACGAUCAGUAGCCGGCCUGAGAGGGUGAUC
rnacentral:rRNA from 1 species